CGCGUAGGAAUCUACCUGGUAGUGGGGGAUAACAUGGAGAAAUCCAUGCUAAUACCGCAUACGUCCUGAGGGAGAAAGUGGGGGACCUUUUGGCCUCACGCUAUCAGAUGAGCCUGCGUAGGAUUAGCUAGUUGGUGGGGUAAAGGCCUACCAAGGCGACGAUCCUUAGCUGGUCUGAGAGGAUGAUCCGCCACACUGGGAACUGGAACACGGACCAGACUCCUACGGGAGGCAGCAGUGAGGAAUAUUGCGCAAUGGGGGCAACCCUGACGCAGCGACGCCGCGUGGAUGAUGAAGGCU
rnacentral:rRNA from 1 species